rnacentral:lncRNA from 1 species
GGAGGGUGUGAGAGGGAGGUGAGAAAGAUGUCUAGGACAGAGAAAGGGAGGUUGCAGUAUUCCACAUUCCAGUGCAAGCACGAGGAGGCGCAGGAGAGGGAGACACUUAAGUCAAACACCUACCACAUUCAUAUCUACUGACACGCCAGCACUGAUUUCAAGGAGAAUAUAUCCAUACCGCAUACAGGAAGAAAAUCAACACCAUGUCAAAAAUUACACGCAAGUGAGGAAACACACCAAAUCUAAAUCACAAGGAAAUCUCAUUCCCAGUAAGUGGCCUAUGAAACAAACUUCAAUAAUCUGCUGAAAGAAGCCUCUUCUCAUAUUUUAUGGGAAUAGAGAGAAAAGAGAGACUUCAAGAUAAUGAGGGAGAGAAGAGUUCUUACAUAUCAAGAAAAAUCUUCAAGACUGAAAUGGCACUUCUCACAGCAUUCAUAUGAACUGCAUAAAGUAUCUUCUGGGAGGUUCUGUGACUUCAUGGUGUCAUUAUGGAUUUCAUUUGCAAUUCACUAAAAAAAAAAGUGGAUAAUGACUGUACUCAGCACUACUGGAUUAUAGCCAUCACC